AGUAGUGUCACUAAGAUUCUUCUACUAAGGAACUUACUUCCUCCACAGAUAGCAACAAACUUGGAAUUCUGAUCAUACUAUUUUGAAGUGGUUCUUACUCCAAAGAAAAUAAGUUAGCUCCAAUUGCAUAACUAGUUGCUUCAGUCCCAGUAAAACUCUCAACUGUGGACAAUAUCUCUGUAUCAAAAGUCUUAUCAAAAUCAUGAAUUGAACCAGCUGUUGUGGUGUUAAAGGGAGUCAUAUCUACUCCUCCGGAGGGUGUUAGUAUUGUUUCAUUUAUAUUUUCUCCAGUAUGCAUAUCAAAUCGAGGAUUCUCAGGUAUUAGAUUCCACUCAUCCUGUUGUUCUGGUUGGAUAUCAGUAUGCAAAUCGAAUCGAGAAUUCUCAGGCCCUUUUUGCAGAUCCUCUGAGGCAACAUGAGUUGUGCAGCUAUUCCAAUGUAUGGUGCCGACGACAAAUUGGAAAGGGAAAGAGGAAAGAGAUGAACAAGACAAAAGAAAAGAAUGUAAGUAUGUACCUAACUUGGGUCUUUG